rnacentral:lncRNA from 1 species
GUAGCAAUGGGGCAGGAUGGAUAAUCCUCUCACUGGGAGGAUGGUGAAUAACUGGAAACAGUGACCAAUCUGCUGCCGUUCACCAUCUUGGUUGCAAAUAUCACUCCCGUCACUUGCAUGGGCGUGGUGGAUUGGAGAUGGCUGCAGAUUCUUAGUCAUUCUUCUCAGCAAGACCUGGAGUCUUUUCCUCCUCCCCUUGGAUCUGGGCUGACUCCAGGACUGGCUUUCAUCAACAGGAUGCAGCAGAAGCAACGCUGUGUGAUUUCCGAGGCUGAGGCUGCAAAGAUUUGAGGCAUCUGCUCUCACCCAGCUUGAAGUGCUUCCUCUUGGAAGCCAGCCACUGUGAAAAACCCCGCCAUGCUGUGAGGAAGCCCAAGAGAGCUGCAUGGAGAGAAGGGCCUGUGGAAGAGCCCUGAGGUGCCACUCACAUGAAGUGAGCCUUUGUGGACCUUCCAGCCCAGCCACCAGCAAAACGCAACCCAGCGAGUCUCCAGGCCCAGCCUGCUUUUAACAAGACAGUGAAGAGUGGCAGUUAAAGGUCUGGCUGGCAUCAGACAGUGCUGAAUUCAAACACCAGCUGAGCUGAAAACGGCCUGGCUGGGUGACCUUGAGCAAGCAGCCUGCCCUCUCCGAGGCUCAGUUUAUUUUCUGGAAGGGAGAAGACGGUGUCUACUUCCAACGACCGCCAUGAUGUUUCAGGUUCAGCCCGAAGGGUGAGUAGCCAAUAAAGAGUGCCGAGAACGGCCUCUGGCCUGCCGGGUAGAGAAAUGACCUGAUUCCUUCCAGAAGUUUCCAGUGUUCCCAAGCCGAUGAGGCUCCUGGGAGACGCCUCCAGAUCUCUUAACGUUCAGGGAAGCAUGGGCUCUGGUUGCAUUAGGGAGGAUUUAUUUUAUUUUUAAAGGAGUUGAGGCCACUUUGCAAUCAGAGCCUUCGUGGCUGGAGCUGGGCGAGCUGGGGAAGGGGUACUAAUCAAGGCGCUUUAAGGACAUGCAAAUCAGGAGAAAGCUCAAGUGAUUAGGGUGUGAUGGGGCCUGGAGUCCAGCCUAUAUCCCCAUCUGAGAAGAGAGAGCCAGAGUGCCAGGCAAGGUGGCUCAGGCCCAGCUGGGGGCGGCAGCCAAGGGGCUGCCAUGGGGCCGGGAACUGUGGGUUGGGAGCAAUUGGAGGCGGAGGGAAGGUAGCCACUCCAAGGUGGCUGAAGGGUCCCUGAUGGCUGCGCUGUCCAUGUGGUACUCUGGCUGGCUUCCCCACCUCCCCCACAGCUGCAGAGGGGCUGCUCUGGCAGGAUCCCCUGCCUGGCUGGGACAGGCCCCUCUUCCUAAGGAUACAGAAUGGUUAUUUGGGUGAGAGGGGCCCACCGGCGCUGCUGGGGGCGGGAUGGGGAAUGUGUUGUCAGCGAUCUGGGGUAUCUUCAGGGUGACAGCAGUACCCCCCGCGUGGGACCCAGGGCUCCACAUCUAUAGACCUGACCCAAGGAAAGACGCAGGCCUGUGCGCAAGGAUGCCAUCUCGGGGAUUGCAUAUUCAUUAGAAGCUGAAUCAAACAGUGUCCAACAAGGGGAGUUUUUCGAGCUGGUUAUGGGACGUGUUUACCAUGGACUUCCAGGUCCUCCUGAGAAAUGACGACCUAGACGUGGAAAGAUGGUUGCAAUGUAUUGUUCCGCAAAGGAGAAAAAAAAAAGCAGGUUGCAAAACCCUGGGAACUGUCUGUCCACCUUCAAAAAGUCAGUCAUAUAUCUAGAAAAAUCUGGAAGGGUAGCCACAAAAACAUCAUCAGUAGGUACUGUGGAGAGGUUAUUGUUACUUUCCCCUUUUAUGUUAAUUUUUGUGCAAUAAACAUAUGUGUAUUUGUAA